UCUCUCUUCCUUUCUAAAUAAUUUUCAAAAAAAAAACAAUAUUUCUUUUGCUAAUUUACAUCUUUCAUCUUAACAAUUUGAUUGAAACUUGCAACAAACUGCUGUCCCUUCUUCGUUCAUAGUGUCACUCUCACUCUCACUCUUUCGUUGACUCACUGUUUCAUAAACUCACCUCUCCAUGGCCCUUCUCUCUCCACUCAGCCUCGUGGACCACAGUCCUCACUGCCACAGUUACCGCCGCAUCCUUCUGCCUUCAUCUCUCCCUCUUUGGCCGAACCUCCCUCCUCCUCUUUCUUGCGUGACUGUGAUACUGACGCUUUCCUUAGACGUGCCGAGAGAGAUCAUCUGCUUGCCGCCUCACCUUUUUAACAAGUCCAAACUUGAUUUUAUCGUUCCUUCGGUUUUCGCUUUCGUUGUAGUAGCCGGCUCCGCCUGGCUCUGCGCGCCUUAGGCUUUGAAAAUUGAGUACGACCAGCUGUCUUGAUCAAGGUGUACUGAUGAGCUAUGGAUGACAAAUUCACAAUCCUGCCUUCAAUACCAGUGGCUUUUGCAGUGUUCUUCAUUGUGUCCAGGAGGAGAUUUGUCAAGAGAAAAUGACCUGAAAAGAAGUCAUCAGUGGAGGUAAUUUAGUAGUCUUACUGGGUUUUUAUUUUUAUAUUUUUUGGUUUAAUAUUUGCACAUAGCCUACCAAGAUGAUUUGUUGCAAACUGCAUCUCUAUUCCUUCCUGGGAAAGUUGGUAUGGGCAGAACAUGAUUCCAGCAUUGUUUCUGUCGACCAAUUCAAUGCUUUCAUUCUUUCAGUAAAAUGGAAAUAGAUACAUGAUUAAAUUAAAAACAAAA